CAGAGCUUGUAUAACUCUGGAGUUCAGACUGAAUGUGACCCAGGUGGGCAGAAGAGUAACCAAUCACGUGGAGCUCAGAAGCUCAGCUGCUGCCAUUUUAGAUAGAUUGUUUGAGUGUUUAGGGCUCCAUGUACGACUGGUGUCAUUUUCUUUAGGGGUUCUAGAGUUCUGCCUUAACACCUUCAAGGAAGAGGUGCUUUGUUUCCUUUAAGAACUUUACCUGUUUUUACCUGCUUUUAGGAUCCUCAAAAAGAUCUUUCUUUUUGAUUUUAAUUCUACUGAUAUGUGGUGCUGUGUAAAACCCCACAAAGCCCCUGAAAAUGAUGCUCCAGUCAUCUGAAUUCGAUUCUAGACCCUCCAGAGUCGUGUGGACAUCAGGAUGUAGCCGUAGUCAGUCAGGUCUUCUACAAUCUCUGUGCUGAGCUGUGAACUUAGAGAUGGAUCACUUUAACAGAGAAGAAGAAACGGUCCAAGUUUGCUGUUUGUCAGAUUCGGCUGAAGUUGGACACGAUGACGGGGACCGGCAGGGCGAUGACCAACACGCCACUCAAAGAGCAGAUGGAACCAAAGAUCUUCCCCAUAAUGGUCUUUGGUACCAUGUCACCAUAUCUAAGAGAGCAGAGAGUCAGAAGUCAGCCCGGCUGUGAGCAAUGUGGAGCAUCAUGGAUUCUUCAGCUUUCACCCACUCAGAAAAACCUGAAGACAAAUAAAUCUGAAUACAUCAAACAUCCCACAGAAACACUAUGAAGCUUAUUCCUGUAAAGGUGUAAAUGCUUAAAGAAGGACUUCAAUGUGUUUAUGAUGAAGAUACCAAAGUUCACCUGACUGUAAAUGAAAGACUGGGACACAUUAUAUACACUGUGUUUUGAGUCAUUUAUACUGGAGGAGACAGUCAUGAGCUAUGCUGAGCAUAAGCUACGGUGAAAUGAGCGCACCU